AUUGAACGCUGGCGGCAGGCCUAACACAUGCAAGUCGAGCGGAGCGGCGGACGGGUGAGUAAUGUAUGGGGAUCUGCCCGAUAGAGGGGGAUAACUACUCGAAAGAGUGGCUAAUACCGCAUACCAUCGGAGCGGCCGAUAUCGGAUUAGCUAGUUGGUGGGGUAAUGGCUCACCAAGGCAACGAUCCGUAGCUGGUUUGAGAGGAUGACCAGCCACACUGGGACUGAGACACGGCCCAGACUCCUACGGGAGGCAGCAGUGGGGAAUUUUGGACAAUGGGGGAAACCCUGAUGCAGCCAGCCCGCGUGUGUGAUGAAGGCCUUCGGGUUGUAAAGUACUUUUGGCAGAGAAGCGGUAUCUGCAGAAUAAGCACCGGCUAACUACGUGCCAGCAGCCGCGGUAAUUC
rnacentral:rRNA from 1 species